AAUGGACCUGCUAAAGCUCAACUCCGUCACCACUAAGCUGCUGAGCAGGAUGGACAACAUAGAGAAGGCUUUUACUAAAAAUCUCACUGAAAAGAGAGAGAAGGACCGAGCAAAGGAAAAAGCCAAAGAAAGGGAUAAAGACAAGAAAGCCCAGCAGAAAAAGAAGAAAUUUCUUGAUUUGGAACGUCCGGAAGCUAAAAGUGUGGCAUCCGCAGACAAACAGAAGUUUAAUGAAAACGGACUGAAGAAAAAUCAAGAAAGUCUGAAGCAGAAACAGCAGCAAACCGGGAAUAAGACCACGACUCAACAGCCAAUCAUAGGGAAAGUAAAGCCCCGACAGCCAAUCAAAGACAAGAACAGCAUGGUUGUCAGAGGUGUGACCUUUUACAAGGCAGGGGAAGAGAUCUUUAAGAAGAAUGAUGAAGAUGAGAAAAGAAGAGGAAAGGGUGAUAAUUAAUGCUUUUGCUCUAUUAAAGCUUAUCUAAACAGAUAUAUACAAGGAAUAAUAGUUUGGUUGGAUUUUAUUUGAAACUGUUUUUUAAUUUAGAUUUUCUUCAUCCAACAGCCCUGGUAACCCUGAAUGCUACAGUGGACUUGCUUAUCACCACACCUGCUCUCAACUCCGAGAACCAGAACACUUCCUUAAAUAUCUCAAUGGUUCCCAGUCCACAGCCGGCCAACCCAACAAGCACAAACGCAACAUUACCCUUGAUGAUCUCAGAUCAGGUUCCACUUCCCAGUCCUGCUUUCACUAAAGAAGCCAACAAUAAACCCUUAUCAAGAACAGACGUUUCA
rnacentral:lncRNA from 1 species